rnacentral:rRNA from 1 species
GAUGAACGCUGGCGGCGUGCCUAAUACAUGCAAGUCGAGCGAACAGAUGAGGAGCUUGCUCCUCUGACGUUAGCGGCGGACGGGUGAGUAACACGUGGAUAACCUACCUAUAAGACUGGGAUAACUUCGGGAAACCGGAGCUAAUACCGGAUAAUAUAUUGAACCGCAUGGUUCAAUAGUGAAAGACGGUUUUGCUGUCACUUAUAGAUGGAUCCGCGCCGCAUUAGCUAGUUGGUAAGGUAACGGCUUACCAAGGCAACGAUGCGUAGCCGACCUGAGAGGGUGAUAGGCCACACUGGAACUGAGACACGGGCCAGACUCCUACGGGAGGCAGCAGUAGGGAAUCGUCCGCAAUGGGCGAAAGCCUGACGGAGCAACGCCGCGUGAGUGAUGAAGGUCUUCGGAUCGUAAAACUCUGUUAUUAGGGAAGAACAAAUGUGUAAGUAACUAUGCACGUCUUGACGGUACCUAAUCAGAAAGCCACGGCUAACUACGUG